CUUCUGAAGUCGAGAAGCGUCGGUAGAACGUGUUCACCUGUUCUAAAUUGCUUAAUUAAAUGGUUAUUGAUUGGAUAUAUGAUAUGUAAACGGAGUCCUUAAAUAAUUGUGAAUAACCAUUGUCUGAAGUAUGGUAAGGAAUCUCUCAAAGGAGGAAUCCCCAUUGGCAUGUGCGCAGAUGUCUGUGGCAAGUUCUUCACACAAAAGACCGUUAUUAAAAUGUGUUUGUCAGUGCUUAGUAAAUUCUACAUCCUCUCCAUCACUCUCACAUUCUACAACAAAGUAUUUGUAAAGGUUUUUAGACUGAUAAGGAAAAUUGAAGAUGGCUGGCCGCUUAGAGUUACGUCAAAAACAAAGAGCAGUGAUUGAAUCCCUU